rnacentral:rRNA from 1 species
CUACGGGUCGCAGCAGUGGGGAAUAUUGGACAAUGGGGGAAACCCUGAUCCAGCAAUGCCGCGUGUGUGAAGAAGGCCUGCGGGUUGUAAAGCACUUUCGGUUGGGAGGACUGCUUCUAGCACUAAUAUUGUUGGAAGUUGACGUUACCUUCAGAAGAAGCACCGGCUAACUCCGUGCCAGCAGCCGCGGUAAUACGGAGGGUGCAAGCGUGUAAUCGGGAUUACUGGGCGUAAAGCGCGCGUAGGCGGCUAGAUCAGUCGGGUGUGAAAGCCCCGGGCUUAACCUGGGAACUGCAUCCGAUACUGUCUAGCUUGAGUACAGGAGAGGAGAGUGGAAUUCCACAUGUAGCGGUGAAAUGCGUAGAUAUGUGGAGGAACACCAAUGGCGAAGGCAGCUCUCUGGCCUGAUACUGACGCUGAGGUGCGAAAGCGUGGGGAGCAAACAGGAUUAGAUACCCCUGUAGUC